AACGAACGCUGGCGGCAGGCUUAACACAUGCAAGUCGAACGCAUCGCAAGAUGAGUGGCAGACGGGUGAGUAACGCGUGGGAAUCUACCGUACCCUACGGAAUAACGCAUGGAAACGUGUGCUAAUACCGUAUACGCCCUUAGGGGGAAAGAUUUAUCGGGGUAUGAUGAGCCCGCGUUGGAUUAGCUAGUUGGUGGGGUAAAGGCCUACCAAGGCGACGAUCCAUAGCUGGUCUGAGAGGAUGUUCAGCCACAUUGGGACUGAGACACGGCCCAAACUCCUACGGGAGGCAGCAGUGGGGAAUAUUGGACAAUGGGCGCAAGCCUGAUCCAGCCAUGCCGCGUGAGUGAUGAAGGUCUUAGGAUUGUAAAGCUCUUUCACCGGUGAAGAUAAUGACGGUAACCGGAGAAGAAGCCCCGGCUAACUACGUGCCAGCCGCCGCGGUAAAAC
rnacentral:rRNA from 1 species